ACAGCAGAAUGAUCACAGAGCUGUUCACACUUUCUCUCAAGGUCGCGCUGGUCUUAGGAUCUUCUCUCAGUGAUCAGGUUCAUCAGACUCCGUUCAACGUUCUGGCAAAGAGAGGAGAAGCAGCCACAAUCAGCUGCUCUCAUGACAUCCAGAGCUACAAUGUAAUCCUCUGGUACAAGAGACUGGAGGACAAACAGCUGCAGCUGCUGGGGUACAUGUACAUCGACAACAAAAAUCCUGAACCUGGAACAGAUGUGAAGAUGGAAUUAGGAGGAAAUGCAAAUACAGGACAGACCUGCACUUUGACAAUCAAAGAGCUGAGUGAGAAAAGCAGUGCAGUUUACUUCUGUGCUGCUAGCUACCACAGUUAG